rnacentral:tRNA from 1 species
ACCCUGGUGGUCCAGUGGUUAAGACUCUGCACUUCCAGGGCAGGGGCCUAGGUUCAACCCCUGGUAGGGGGA